rnacentral:rRNA from 1 species
GACGAACGCUGGCGGCGUGCUUAACACAUGCAAGUCGAACGGAGAUUAUUAAUGAAGCUUGCGAUUUAAUAAUCUUAGUGGCGGACGGGUGAGUAACGCGUGGGCAACCUACCCAUAAGCGGGGGAUAACAGUUGGAAACGACUGCUAAUACCGCAUAAGCUAUUGAGGUCGCAUGACCUAAAUAGUAAAGGUGGCGAAAGCUAUCACUUAUGGAUGGGCCCGCGUCUGAUUAGCUAGUUGGUGGGAUAGCAGCCUACCAAGGCAACGAUCAGUAGCCGGCCUGAGAGGGUGGACGGCCACACUGGGACUGAGACACGGCCCAGACUCCUACGGGAGGCAGCAGUGGGGAAUAUUGCGCAAUGGGGGAAACCCUGACGCAGCGACGCCGCGUGAGCGAAGAAGGCCUUAGGGUCGUAAAGCUCUGUUGUAAGGGACGAAUGUUUAUCUGGCGAACAGUCAGAUAAAGUGACGGUACCUUACCAGCAAGCCCCGGCUAACUACGUG